GAUGAACGCUAGCGGCAGGCUUAAUACAUGCAAGUCGAGGGGCAUCAAGGUACACGAAAGUGUAUUGUUGGCGACCGGCGGACGGGUGAGUAAUAGGUAGGUAACCUACCUCAUACUGAGGCAUAGCUGGGAGAAAUUCCAGGUAAUUCCUCAUGAGGUUAUAUGACACAUGUGAUAUAAUCAAAGGUAUCGCAAGGUACUGGUAUGAGAUGGGCUUACUGACCAUUAGCUAGUUGGUGAGAUAAGAGCUCACCAAGGCGAAGAUGGUUAGGGGUUUUGAGAGAGAGAUCCCCCAAUUGGAACUGAGAUACGGUCCAGACUCCUACGGGAGGCAGCAGUAGGGAAUAUUGGGCAAUGGGCGGAAGCCUGACCCAGCCAUGCCGCGUGAAGGAAGACGGCCUUAUGGGUUGUAAACUUCUUUACUAUGCGACUAACUAGAUUUACGAGAUAAUUCUAUAGAAUGUAGCAUAGCAAAAGCAACCGG
rnacentral:rRNA from 1 species